UGCAUUUGGUAGCUCAGCGACAGAGCCCCGGUCUUGUAAACCGGCCGCCGGGGGUUUAAAUCCCCCCCAAUGCU
rnacentral:tRNA from 1 species